rnacentral:rRNA from 1 species
GAUGAACGCUGGCGGCGUGCCUAAUACAUGCAAGUCGAACGAAACUUCUUUAUCACCGAGUGCUUGCACUCACCGAUAAAGAGUUGAGUGGCGAACGGGUGAGUAACCCGUGAGCCACCUGUAACAAAGAGGGGGCUAACCCUAGGAGACAGGUGAUAAUGCAGCAUAACGUUCAUUACCGCAUGGUAAUCUUGUUAAAGGUGGUUGAACUACCGCUUUUGGAUGGGCCCGCGGUGCAUUAGCUAGUUGGUAAGGUAAAGGCUUACCAAGGCAAUGAUGCGUAGCCGAAUUGAGAGGGUGAUCGGCCACAUUGGAACUGAGACACGGUCCAAACUCCUACGGGAGGCAGCAGUAGGGAAUCUUCCGCAAUGGGCGAAAGCCUGAUGGAGCAACGCCGCGUGAGUGAUGAAGGUCUUCGGAUCGUAAAACCCUGUUGUUAGAGAAGAAAGUGUGUGAGAGUAACUGUUCACAUUUUGACGGUAUCUAACCAGAAAGCCACGGCUAACUACGUG